CUCUCCAGCAAUUACCCCCGGACUGGUUCCCUGUUACCAACCCUGCCUGUCUCUGAUCUACCUGCCUCGGCGAAUCCCCGGAAUCCCCACCUGCCUUCUGCAAAAACUUUACUGAAGUUCUGCAAGCCAAACAAACUUGAAGACUGCUUUAAAAGAAAAACGGCAGAAACAUCAUUACCCAAGCCGUCAACAUGCGGCCCAAGAGAACGGGAGGUUGCAGAGAAAGCACCCAGGGGCCAAGGUAGAGGAAAGGGCAAGAGGACCAAGCCACCAUCUCCACCGUCCUCUUCAUCACAUCAACAUCCUCUUCCAGAGGCCGCCAAGAGUCUCUGUCUCUUCGUUGAACUGUGACUCAUACAUCUCCUUCCCGUGAUAGUGCCAUCAACUCCUCUGUGCAGCCCCAGGAGGCGACAAAGAGGAAGAGGGCCAAGAAGUCAGAUUUAUCCUUGUAUCCUGUUGCCCAUGAGGAGAUGAUGCUGGAGUUCCUCAGGGAGAAUCCUAUCAUCUGGGACUGCAAGAGGAGCGACUACAGGAGGGCAUACAGGAAGGACAAGCUGUGGGAUGACCAGGCCACACUAAUGGGCAGAACCGGGUAGAACUCCACACCCACAACUACAGUCAGACACAGCGGAGGAAAGUAGAGGAGAGCACGUAAAGAAUCCGGUUCUGGGUAGGGGCCAACAGGGGACAGUGCCCCUUUAACACUGAGCCUGGAGCCCCCGCUCGAACAAAGAGUACAAUAAUAAAAAAGUACUGAUGUUAUGCGACGGUCCACGCAGGGGAGCCAGAUAUAAAUGCAAGCGCGUCGGGAGAAAGUGAAGAAAUGAGCAAAAAUUGAAAAAGAUGCUCUGCACUAAAGACUUUUAUCUAAAGUGUCAUGUUAAAACUUUGGCCUUUAUUUAUUUGAUUUGUUUGCUUUGGU